rnacentral:lncRNA from 1 species
ACCUGUGGCAUAUGGAGGUUCCGAGGCUAGGGGUCUAAUUGGAGCUGUAGCUAACGGCUUACACCAGAGCCACAACAAUGCAGGAUCCGAGCCACGUCUGCAACCUACACCACAGUUCACGGCAACACCGGACCCUUAAUCCACUGAGUAAGACCAAGGAUCGAACCUGCAACCUCAAGGUUCCUAGUUGGAUUCAUUAACUACUGAGCCACGACAGGAACUCCAAGCUGCUGCAUUUGAUCCCAACAUAAAGCCUGGGUCUAGGAGAUGUUGUCUCCUGCAUAAGCAUCAAGCCCCAGACCCUGUGACUUCCAAAUCACAGGGCUUGUUUGAACUAUCUACUUAGUCCUUUACUAAGAAUGUCAAAGUGUGAAUUUGUGAGAUCCCAGGACGGGCAGCUCAGGGAGCAGCAGAUUUUGCUGGUUCCAAACAGCAAGAAAUUCCUUUGGUUUAAAAGAACCGGAUCCAACUGGAAUCAGCCUUGUGAAGUGCGAGCCUGGCUCUGCAGUUACUGACCAGCAGUGCUGAGCCGUCCAUCACACUGAUUUCACCUGUCUGUCCCUCCCCACCUCUCCCCAUCACCAUGCUGUCUCCACGCAGACAACUGGCCGAAGGAGCUGGCCAUGCUGCAGUGGCCCUCAGGGCAGCUGCUACGAUGGGCGCCUGGCAUCCAGAUGUUCCCAUCUGUGGUUGGUACUGCUCAGCACCAAGGCACAUGAGGGAAAGACGGACUCCCUCUGUAAUCCCAAUGCUUGGGUGAGAGAAACUACCCCAGUCCCCACCCUCACACGGUCACAGUCUAUACAGGUGAGCCUUGGUGGUACUAUCUCCAGUUGUUCCUGCUGCUCUUUUUAUUCAUUUACUGGCCACCUGCAGCAUACAGAAGUUCCAAGGCCUGGGAUCAAACCUGUGCCACAGCAGCGACCACGCCGGAGCCUUAACCCACUGAGGCACCAGGGAACUCCCCUGCUGCCACUUCCACCUUGAUCGCGGCUCUCGUGUGUGCAUCUUACUCCCCACCACGGUCCGGUCACCCUGGCUUCUACGCGAAACUUUUAAAUACCACCACGCAUGCGCAGGUAUGCAUACACGCAUGCGCCGCCAGCAGGUGAAAGGCCCUGCCUCGGGAUCUGGCCGUCUAGCCCUUAAUAGAGGUUCCUCCUCCAGCCGUCAGCCCUGGAGGCCCCGUGGCUCUGACCACACCACUCCUCCCAAAUGAGGAUCUUUCCCCAUCUUUUAAAAAAAAAAAAUUUUUUUUUUUUUUUGGUCUUUUUUUGCCUUUUCUAGGGCCGCUCCCACGGCAUAUGGAGGUUCCCAGGCUAGGGGUCUAAUCAGAGCUGUAGCCACCAGUCUACACCAGAGCCACAGCAGCGCUGGAUCCGAGCUGCGUCUGUGACCUACACCACAGCUCACGGCAACGCGGGAUCCUUAACCCACUGAGCAAGGCCAGGGAUUGAACCCUCAACCUCAUGGUUCCUGGUCGGAUUUAUUAACCACUGCGCCAGGACAGGAACCCCAUCUUUUCAAAUUUUUGUUUCCACCUUUUAGGGCCACACCAAGACCAAAUGGAAGUUCCCAGGCUGGGGUUGAAUUGGAGCUGCAGCUGCUGGUCUACACCACAGCUACAGCAACUCAGGAUCAGUCACGUCUGUGACCUACAUCACAGCUCAAGGCAAUGCUGGAUCCCCCACCCACUAAGUGAGGCCAGGGAUUGAACCCACAUCCUCAUGGAUACUAGUCAGAUUUGUUUCCACUGCACCACAACAGGAACUCCCCAUUUUCUCAAUGUCAAUCCAACAUCAGCUAUCUUUCAAUAGUAUAUUCCUUCCACACUAGUAUAUUCCUUCCAAUCUUCUAUAACACUGAAAUGUUUUAGCCCAGAUUGCAUUCUUUGGAACUCUGGUUCCAAGAAAUAAAAGAAGGGAGGAUUCCACCAUCUACAUUUCAUAUACACUGCUUCCUUUACGCCAUUUUGGGUAUUUACAAAGCAUCACCAAUGGCACUGCGAAAUCCUGCAGUAAAAAAAAAAAUUCUCUAGGAUCAACCUGAAUUUUCCCAUUCUCUCUUUGACUGUAGGCUCUUUGGGGCAUAACAUUUAUUUGUGGUCUGCACCCUGACCUGCACUGCCACAGUAAGAACUACCUGACUCACAGGUGGCCUGAACAUGAAAACAGCAGAGGGGUUUUUUUUGUUGUUUUUUUAAGCCUCUGUUCCUCCAGGCACAAAUGCAGCCAGAUGUUCUGUUUCAUUUCAGAAGCCACCGUGCUGAUUUAGCUACCAGAUUCCAAAGACCCUGCAGAGGGCUGCACUCAGUGGGCGCUCAGUGGUCACAGCCUGAUCCAUGAAAUCCGGGAGGAGAACUCAUCUGAGAGCCAUGGGUUUAGGAGAAUUGGGGUGGGGGUGUGGGUUGGCAUCAGGCCCCCUUGUUGCUUUCUUGAGAAGUUGACAGCAACUUUUCUCCCAAGUAGGGGUGUCUGAGCCAAAGGUCCACAUAGAGUCCAGAAACAUCCCUCUGGAGUGCUCUCAGUCCUGGAUGCUGAGGCCACGGUGGUGCCUCUUGCACACAGAGGACCAGCCACUCAGUGGCAGAACACUGUUAGGUGCUGAGAGAACCCUAAACAGAAAACAUCAUUCUCUCAGUCUGGAGGGCACCCCAGGGAUCAACUGGAAAUGUUGUCCAACAGCUCCACCCCCUGGAGUAUGACUUCAAUCUCAACAGGGACAGAGGUCUCCUACAACUAGUCCUUGGCCCCUGGACCUCUGAGUGCUAGAAGGGCAGUCAUUUAGGGGAAAUGUAUGGCCAAGCCAUCUGUUCAGAAGGACGCCUGGGCCUCCUGCUGUCGGCUUCCUUUCUCUGUGGGUCCUUCCUACUCAGAGAAUGUGGCCAAGUACAGCACCUCCCACGGCUGGAGAGUCUUUAAUGGAGGCAGAAUUUCACCACAAAAUCUCUCCCCACCUCGUCCCCUUUGUUUCCAUAAGUUGCUGUGAAGCCACAUUUUAUCAAUCAGGACCUGCUGCUACGUAAGGCAGCAGUGAAGAGUCCAGGUGGUCAAGGACGAGUCUCACCUGUCAUAGACCCCACCUUCCUUCUUGCCAAGCACUGUGUGCAGGGUGGCACUGGGCUCCCAGCACAGGUGCUGAGAGCUGUCACCUGCGUCCAGGCCCCUAUUCAGAACAUGCAAGGCCGGUGGUUCCAACAUGUUUAAGAAUUCCAGGAUGGUGACAGCAGCGCAUUAAAUCAGGUACGACCUUCUGAGCACAGGGCCCUGUGCAACUGCGCAGGUCUUAUGCCUGCCAGGUUGGUCCAGCUGAUCUCUCCCAAGGACUCUGGGGGCUUAAUGGUCUCACCCUAAGUCUUCAUGGUGACAAGACAGCUGUCCCAGCCUCCUGGAAAGACUUCCUUGAAAGGGGACCCUCUGGCAGCCCCUCUGAGUGACCUCUCCAGAUUUCCACUCACUCAAAGAACCCUUACAGCCCUGGAUGGCCCCUCUAAUCAUCUGGGUUGACUUAACCUCCACAUGCUGGUGGGGUCGGGCUCUUUCUUCUAUAUCGUAUCCAUCCCCAAUCUUGAGGUUAUUUUUCAUUGAUCUGUUUCUUUUUGGGUCCAGAAAAAUCAGGCUUCCUUCCUACCUGGCAACCACAUCUACUUUCCCAAGUUCAGGUCAAAUUUUCUCCACACACAGGGAGUUCCCGACGUGGCGCAGCAGAAACGAAUUCGACUCGGAAGCAUGAGGUUGUGGGUUCCAUCCCUGGCCUCACUCCGUGGGUUAAGGAUCUGGCAUUGCCAUGAGCUGUGGUGCAGGUCGAAGAUGCGGCUUGGAUCUGGCGUGGGCUGGCAGCUCCAGCUCCUAUUUGACCCCUAGCCUGGGAACCUCCAUAUGCCUCAGGUGAGGCCCUGAAAACAAAACAAAACAAAAUAAAUUUUCUCUACACAGAUAUCUGUCAGAACCUGCUUCUCCCAGUGCCCAAGUGUCUCCCCCAGGAGAGACCGGCACAGCCAGGCCUGCGUCUAUCACGAGCAUCUGUGUUUCUGUGAGCUGGCUGCCUGCUGGACCCAUUCAUUCCAAACUUCCCCUUAGACUGACUUUCUCUUUAGAACUGACAUCUUCUCUCCUCCGCUGCGGCUCUUCUAUCCCUCCACUGUGUUCACUGUCCAUCUGUCCCUAGUUAUCUGCCCCGAUCCCUCUAUCUCACAGUCUCUAAAAGCUCCCAGCAUCCCUCUGUCCCUGAGUUCUAAAGUCACAGGAUGUUUGAAAGGCAAAGGCAUUGUAUCAAUGCCCUGCAUCCUGCAUCCCAUAUUCCAUCCAAAAUCGCCUAUGUCACCUCCUCCAGCUGCCCAGCCUAAAACAUAUUAAACUGAAAAUGUAUUUUCAACAGGAAAAAGUGAACUGCUUAAUAAAUGGUGCUAGGAAAAACUGCUGGCCAUUUAGAGACAAAUUAGACUCCUCCUCCUACCUAGAUCAAAAACAAAAAUAAAUCGGAGUUCCUAUUGUGGCUCAGUAAGUUACAAACCUGACUAAUAUCCACGAGGAUUCAGGUUCGAUCCCUGGCCUUGCUCAGUGGGUUAAGAAUCUGGCUCAGAUCUGGCGUUGCUGUGGCCGUGGCAUAGGCGGGCAACUGCAGCUCCGAUUUGACCCCCAGCCUGGCAACUCCAUAUGUUGCAGUGCCGCCCUAAAAAGCAAAAAAAAAAAAAAAAAAAAAAAA